UACAGAGGGGGCUAGCGUUGUUCGGAAUUACUGGGCGUAAAGGGCGCGUAGGUGGCCUGUUAAGUCGAACGUGAAAUCCCCGGGCUCAACCCGGGAACUGCGUCCGAGACUGGCAGGCUCGAAUCCGGGAGAGGGAUGUGGAAUUCCAGGUGUAGCGGUGAAAUGCGUAGAUAUCUGGAGGAACACCGGUGGCGAAGGCGGGACUCUGGGCCGAUACUGACGCUGAGGAGCGAAAGCGUGGGGAGCGAACAGG
rnacentral:rRNA from 1 species